UGCGCGGGUACGCUAUAAAAGCGAAGAGCGCCGGACUGUCGGCCUCUUGAGAUGGAAGUUGGAGAAGUUGAGGAGGAAGAUGGCUGGGAUUUGGUGGACCCUACCUGAAGAGGGCUGCCUGUGGCAUACGGCGCCCAAGUCAAGAUGGCGGCCGUGGUCUCUACUGCCUGGGUGACUGUUCGCGCGGUGGGAGCAGGUGCGCGUCUCUCCACUUCUGCGCAGGACUGGCUGAUCAGGAUGCGAUCCUGUAGGGAUCUGAGGUCUGCAAAAUGGCAAUCCAGGAGUGUUGGAUGCCGAGGGUGCCCCACUGAGACUUGCUGAGAGGUGACUGCACUGUGCGAGUGGAGCUAUGGAAACCACGCAAGAUGUUCUGUCAAGGGGCAGCUGAGUUAAGCUGAGAAGCCCGAGUCUUCAUCCCAUGCUGCAUGGAGGUUUAUUUUCGCAGUGUUGAAAUCUGAGAAUGCGGUGUGCUUGUUACUGAUCAACCCGUUUACAUACCUGAUGGAUCUUCAGUGUUGAAAUUCAAAACUGUCAAUAAAACACUCUGUUUCAA